rnacentral:rRNA from 1 species
CCGCGGUAAUACGUAGGGGGCGAGCGUUACCCGGAUUCACUGGGCGUAAAGGGGGCGUAGGCGACUCAGUGUGUCGGGUGUGAAAUCCCACAGCUCAACCGUGGAAUUGCGCCCGAAACUACUGGGUUUGGGGCUGGUAGAGGGAGAUGGAACUGCUGGUGUAGGGGUGAAAUCCGUAGAUAUCAGCAGGAACGCCGGUGGGGAAGCCGGUCUCCUGGGCCAUGCCCGACGCUGAGGCCCGAAAGCUAGGGGAGCAAACCGGAUUAGAUACCCGGGUAGUCCUAGCCGUAAACGAUGCUCACUAGGUGUGGGGGAGUCAUUCCUCCGUGCUGCAGCUAACGCGUUAAGUGAGCCGCCU